rnacentral:lncRNA from 1 species
CUGGGAGAAGGGGCUGGGUGUUCAUCACCUGAGCCAAGCACCUUGGCAGGUGGCGGGAUGGAGGGGACACUCUGAGGGUUCCCACACCUCUGCUUUCUUUCUUUAAAUUGCUUUUGUUUUCAUUUUUUGAGACAAGGUCUCGUUAUGUUUUCCAGGCUGGACUCGAACUCACUAUGUAGCCUACCCUGGACUUGAACUUGGGGCGAUCCUGCCUCAGCCUCCUGAGCGCUGGAAUGAUAGGUAUGUGCUGCCAUGUCUGGCUUUUUGCAGGAAUUCUUUGAGGACCAGAAUAAAAGGUUUCACCUGCUCUGAGAUGAGUUGUACUUGCUUUUUUCCAGGCACCCGUGUGAGACGGACUCUGAAGUUGCUGGGGCCCCUGUGUGACAUGAACCCUGACUUCAGGUCCCUGGGUCCUCUGGCUUUGUCUCAGUCCUGCCACGGAUGAGCACAGGGCCCGAAGGUGCCAGGCCAAGGCUCUGGCAUGGAGCGGCCCCCAGCCCACGGCUCUGGAGUUCUAAAUUCAGAGAGAAGAAGGCUAAUGAAUGAGGUCCAAAACCCAGAGGGCAGCGCAGGCAAAACAAUACAUCUAACAACAUAAACAUUCAAAUUCAAAUGUCUUUGUAGGGAAGAAGAAAAGUAUCAUUUCAGUAAAGGAUGACUUUUCUGUCCAUAUUAGAUCUCCUGCAAAUAAGUAAAAAAACAGGAAGGGAGCAAAGAGUUUCCAGAAAAGGUUAUACAAAUCAUCUCUUGCUGUCCGACUUUACUCAUAUUAAGAGAAAAGUAAAUUUACAACUAUUCUGAGAUACUGCUUUGUACUUAUGAGACGCACGAAUCAGACCAUUUGGUAACUGUUGAUGAGGUGCGGGAAAGCACACCCACAUGGUGUGUGGACCACAAAUUCACACAACCUCUACAGACAACUAUGUAGCAAUAUAUAUCAAAAUACUGUCAGGCACGGUGGUGCACACCUGUAGUCCCAGCAUUCAGGAGGCUGAGGCAGGAGGAUCGCUGUGAAUUCAAGGCCAGACUGAACUACAUAGCGAGACCUUGUCUAUAAGUAAAUAAAUACACAAAUACACGUAUUCUUUUACUAACUCCAUUUUAGGAAUUUAUCCCAUAUAUACUGAAAUGAGGAAAAAAGCACAGACACAUAGAUGCCCUCCUUCUGUAUUGUUUUGGGUUUUUUAGUGUUGGGGAUUGGACAUGGGGCCUCGAGAAUAAUGCUCUACCGCUGAGCUACACUUCUAUUCUGUAAAGAUCAUUUAUCCAUAAAGGACUGAUUAAACAGCUGGGUGUAUUUGUAUUUUUUAUGCAAGGGUAUUUUAAAUGAUAUGAUGCUGGGCAAAAAAUAGAGCCAUCAAUACAUGAAACAAAAGGAAGCAUUUGGAAACAGACAUAAUGAACAUAAGGA